rnacentral:rRNA from 1 species
AUGUCAAUUGCAAUGACAGGUUCUCACCUAUUAUCUCAUUUUAAAUCAAAAUUGUGGAUGCCCAGUAGGUGGUUGGCUGAUGGAGAGUGUUGCACUGCUGCUUAUUUAAUGGAAAACAGCAGGAAGGAAAUAGAGCGGGUUGUGUGUCAUCGUGCACGCAGUCUGCCUUCCAUUGGCAUGCGAGUACUUGCACUUGGAUCGCCCAAUUGUGUGUGCACAGCAGGGGACCAUGCGCUGGAACAUCGGAUUCAACCUACUCACAAGUUGAAGAGAAGAAUUUUUGAACAAUCAGUACUGCACCAGCGGUAA